UGUAGGCAACAAUUCUUGGAAGAGCUGGAUUUGAGUCCUGGGGGGUCUUCCAGGCAGCAAGCAGUGGGAAAGCUUUCUUUGGCUGGCCCCCAAACUGACCCAGUGCGUAGUCAUGGGUAUUGCAGAAAGUCACAGUGCAAUUACUUCCUUGAAUGGACUCACACAGAAGCAACAAGAAACACUAUUAAAGUAGCAGUAGCAAGAGCAAAAAAAAGUUACUGAAUUUGUAGCUGAGGCGUAAUGUUUAAGCUUUAAGAAAACAACCUAAAAAACUCUUUGCGGCCGGGCGCUAUAGCUCAUGCCUGUAAUCCCAGCACUUUGGGAGGCCAAGGCGGGCGGAUCGCCUAAGGUCAGGAGUUUGAGACCAGCCUGGCCAACAUGGUGAAACCCCAUCUCUACUAAAAAUACAAGAAUUAGCCAGGCGUCGUGGUGUGUGCCUGUAAUCCCAGCUACCCAGCAUGCUGAAGCAGGAGAAUUGCGGGAACCCAGGAGGCAGAGGCUGCAGUGAGCUGAGAUCGCACCACUGCACUCCAGCCUGGGUGACAGAACAAGACUCCGUCUCAAUAAAAACAACAACAACAACAAAAAAAACCCACCACCACCAACAGCAACCAAAAAAAACCAACUCUUUGCAGCUGAAAUCAAGACAUGACUGAGGAGAACUCAAAAAACCUAGGAAAGGAGGAAGGCCCAACAUAGCAAACCACCUACUCCCUUCUCUGUCUCACGGCAGGAGUGACGAGCUGCCUGGAACCAGCAGCUGAGGCACCCAAAGACCCGGUGUCUCUAAACAGCUUCUAUGCUUCCUUCCCUAAACUGCACCAGUGCCUGCCUGGGCUGAGCAGCAAGAGAGACAUCUGUGAUAUCUGAUGACAAUCAUCUCUGAUUAGAGUGUCACUAUAUAGCACAGGUGGAAAGUUGAUUACCAAUCUUUGGUCUGGAGGUAAAUUUUACAGCUGUUUUAAACCCAUGAAAGUGGGUCUUAUAUUGGAAGUGCUGACACAGCCUUAUCCACCGUGGAUCAGCAUGAACUAUACCGCUGUAAUAAGCAGUUAUUAUGUAUGUGUAAAAAUAAUGAGAGGCCGUGUCUGAAGAGAGUUAAUGUAAAAUGCUAAGCAAUUAUAGUUGGUUACACAGUAUAGGUUAAUAUUCCUUCAUAUAGCUGCAUUUUUUCUUCUUUUGUCCUCCAGAACUCCUAAUGAAAAUUUUGAGACCUGACUGUAAUGAUAAGCAGCCAUUCACACGUCCUUUGUGUCAAGGCUGUUGCAUUAAUGCUUCCCUUCAUAUAACAUUUUGCAUAGCCUAAAGCAUCUAUUAAAAUCCUUUGUAAAAUUCAUGAAACAAAAGUGGUGGGUUGAGUCUAGGGGGAGAGAAAGUAAGCUGCUUAUUAGCAAAAAGUCAAAAACACAGGGCCAAUUACAGAUCUGAACAAGAAGGGCUAAGGAACAGCGUGGGGAGUAAUUCUUUCUUCAGCCCAAUGGGCUCAAGCGAGGGGCAGGUUAAAUGAAAAUAGAGCAACAGUCUGAGCAGUAAUUAAACGGAAAUGUUUGGAGUUAGAAACAGCUCUAUAACAACAGGAAGAAAUGCUCAACUAAAACAAUUGUCUAGCCUCACGAACAUGCUAAAUUGGAAGGAUUUAGGGGUUGUUCCCUAAAGGAGAGACUGCGGGUAGUGAAGGGGAGCAGGGGCUCAGGAGAUAUGUAAAGAAUCUGUUUGGUAUUUCAAAUGUUAUAAAUUAGAUUUAUAAAGAGACAGAGAGACAGAGAGAGAGUAUGCCUUCCUAUUGAACCAGCAACAUAAAACUGAAUAAACCACAAUAAGAUUGCCCUUUUUCUGUUAUAAACUUGGCAUUAAGCUUGUCAUGUUCAAUGACAGCCUACUAGGCCUCAUGCUUUACCCUUUGGAAUUUGAAAGAUUGGCAGGUGUCAUGAUUUCCUUAACAUAAAAGACCUUGCAGAUAAUGUUCACCAUGCACAUUUAUACUUCCAUAACUCCACUUCCCUCGUUUUGGUAUCGUCAGGUGAGCUUUCCACGCAGGCUGUUGGUGCUGGGGCUGCCCAGAAGCCUGUCUGGCCUGAGGACAAUGUUUACUGCAAAAGGAGCUUGCAGUAGAGGCCGUACUUUUAUGAUUCUCCUUAGCAGUCUAAACAUGCCCCACAUUUACAAUAAUGAGCUGCUUUGUAGAGAGCGGCUCUCUGAGAGCAUUGUUACUUUUCUUUGAAAUGUUGAAUGCAACCAGAAUGGCUCUUGUCUGACUUAAGGCUAGAAACAGGGUCUCAUUUAAACAAUAAUCCCCUCUCUUUGCAACCACCCACCCCAGCCAGAUCCUUCCAAUAACUCCAAGAGAAAAAAGUAAAAUCAACGUUGAGGGAAAUACAAACUCCCAUUGAAGGCUAAGAGUUCCGUUUCAAUUGGUAUCACCUAAGGGCAACUGUUUGCUACCAACCAAUGCCACUUGAAAAUAAACAAAUGGAUCUUUUCAGAAGAAUUAGUGUCAAGAAUGAGAAUCUUACAUUUUUUCCAACCCGAAGAGAAAGUAUGAGUAGUUGGCUAGGCAUUAACCAUUUACAAAAUAGUUUCAUAUGGGAUUUCAAUAAAUCUGGCCCCAUACAUUUUAAUCUUUUUAUUAUGGAAAAAAAUACAUAUAGAAAAGAGACAGAAUAACCUAAUAACUCCGUGUAUACUCAUCAUUCAGCUUUAAUGAAUAUCAUCUCAUGCUCAUGGUCAUUCUGGUUUCACUAAUGCCCCGUCCACUCCCCGACUUGUUUAGUUUUGAAGCAAACCCUAGGCAUCAUUUAAUUUAUCACAUCUAUAAACAUUUCAGGGCCUAUGUCUAAAAGAAAAGAAUUCCUUUGCUUUUUGUUUUAACAGAUCAAGGAAAUAUUUUGAACCUCCAACCCUUUGAGAGUUUUGUGGACUUUUUUUUUCCAUGAGCUGCAUUUCUCAAAAUAAUAUAAUCGUAUCAUAUAUUAGAAAUAUAAAGAAAAUCUCAAGAGCAUCACUGGUCUCCGGUUUGCUUUGGAGAACAUCAAAGGGGUAAGACUUGAUCAUUUGACUGGACAAGAUGAUGUACUUUUCUUUAAGGAAUGGAAGAUACUGAUUCUUUAAAACUUUUUUUAUUGUUAUGUACAAAAGACUAUUUGCAACAUAAAUUUGAAUUACAAAGCAUAAUAUUAAAAUGAACAGUGUGACCUUCCACCCAAUUCAAAACUAUGACACCACCAAAGCCUUUGACACCUCCACUCUGCCCCCAUUUCCAGCUCUUGAGGUAAUUUUAUCCUGAAUUUUCUAUGUAUACUAUUUUAUAGACUUUAAAAAAUAAAUUUGCUAUAUAUGUGUAUAUUACUAUGAUUGUUCAGUUUUGUUUGUUUUGAGACUUUAUAAAGUAGUACCAUAUCCUAUGUGGUCUUUUAAAACUUGCUUUUCUCAUUUCAUAUUAUUUCUCUGAGAUUCAUUCCGAACAUAUGUGCCUAUGUUUUUAUGUGUCAUUCAUUUUCUCUAUUGUAUAAUACUCCAUUUUGUGAAUAGAAGAUAAUUAUUUGUCCAUUACUUUGUCAAUGGGCAUUGAGUGGGUUCUGGUGUGUUGGCUUGUUCAUUUGCUAUUAUUACACACAACAGUGCUGUGAACAUUCUUAAUUUUGUCUCCUGGUGUGUAUAAGCAAGAAUUUCUCUAAUACUCAUUUUUUUCCUCCUAAAAAUUUCACUAAUGGCAGUGGGGGAUAUACUGGUACCCUUUUUCUAUUAAUAAAGCCCUAUUAAGUUCCACAAAUUAUUUUAAUUUAAAGUGAAAAUGAUAGUUUUGAAAGCAUAGCUCUGAUGUACAUAGGACAAUGGUAUCAUG
rnacentral:lncRNA from 10 species